CCUACGGGAGGCUGCAGUGGGGAAUAUUGGGCAAUGGGCGCAAGCCUGACCCAGCAACGCCGCGUGAAGGAAGAAGGCUUUCGGGUUGUAAACUUCUUUUAAGAGGGAAGAGCAGAAGACGGUACCUCUUGAAUAAGCCACGGCUAACUACGUGCCAGCAGCCGCGGUAAUACGUAGGUGGCAAGCGUUGUCCGGAUUUACUGGGGGUAAAGGGCGUGCAGCCGGGAAGACAAGUCAGAUGUGAAAUCCCGCGGCUCAACCGCGGAACUGCAUUUGAAACUGUUUUUCUUGAGUACCGGAGAGGGCAGCGGAAUUCCUUGUGUAGCGGUGAAAUGCGUAGAUAUAAGGAAGAACACCAGUGGCGAAGGCGGAUGACUGGACGGCAACUGACGGUGAGGCGCGAAAGCGUGGGGAGCAAACAGGAUUAGAUACCCGAGUAGUC
rnacentral:rRNA from 1 species